CUGAAGUUCACAUAUGUGCUAGCUGGCUGGGAAGGAUCAACACAUGAUGCUAACAUUCUAACUAACAGCAUGAGUAGACCUGAUGUCAUCAAUAUCCCUGAUGGCAAGUUCUACCUAGGAGAUGCCGGUUAUGCAUGUUUAGGUGUUUUUCCACCCUUCAGGAAAGUCAGGUACCAUUUGAACAAGUUUGCUGGCAAGAACUAUCCUAGGACUCCAUGUGAGCUGUUUAAUCUCAGACACUCCAGCCUUAGAGUUACGAUUGAGAGGGCAUUUGGAGCUCUGAUGAAUAGGUUUAAGAUCCUAUUUUUAUCAUAA
rnacentral:rRNA from 1 species